AACUUUGUCCAAAAGUUAUCCAUCACUUAGACAGUGCAUUGUAAUGAACUUCACAUGAAUCAUUCCAUGACGGCACUGCUGCAUUCCAGUUCUUGGCGUGUUUGUGUUUGUUGUGGUUUUGAAUCAGUGGUGGUUAUGUCAAUCAAUAUCAAAUGCGAUGUGUUGAUGGAGAGAAUAAAUGUACUUAUUGUAUCUUUAAGAACCUGUCUGGAAAUUAUGAUGAAAGGGAGGUGUCAGAGGAUCCAUAUAUUU
rnacentral:snoRNA from 1 species